AGACCCCUACGGGAGGCAGCAGUGGGGAAUAUUGGGCAAUGGGCGCAAGCCUGACCCAGCAACGCCGCGUGAAGGAAGAAGGCGUUCGGGUUGUAAACUUCUUUUCUAAGGGACGAAGAAAGUGACGGUACCUUAGGAAUAAGCUCCGGCUAACUACGUGCCAGCAGCCGCGGUAAUACGUAGGGAGCGAGCGUUAUCCGGAUUUAUUGGGUUUAAAGGGUGCGCAGGCGGUCUGUUAAGUCAGCGGUCAAAGCCCGGGGCUCAACCCCGGCCCGCCGUUGAAACUGGCAGUCUC
rnacentral:rRNA from 1 species